rnacentral:rRNA from 1 species
UCGCCUGCAUGAAGUCGGAAUUGCUAGUAAUCNCGGAUCAGCAUGCCGCGGUGAAUACGUUCCCGGGCCUUGUACACACCGCCCGUCACACCAUGGGAGCCGGUAACACCCGAAGUCAGUAGCCUAACAGCAAUGAGGGCGCUGCCGAAGGUGGGAUUGGUGACUGGGGGUGAAGUCGUAACAAGGUAAC